AGAGUGGCGACUGUUCUCUGAUCUGGGUCUGGGGCAGGACAGAAUUCUUGGUCCCACGCAGUCCCUGUUUCAUGUACUUCAAGGCCAGUGGCAUUUGAACAGAAAGAGGGCAGUGGAGAAGAAAGAACUUUAGGUGUGUCUUCCAUUCUUUGGUUGCUGUUACCCUCUUUGGGUCCCAAGAAAAUGUGGAUACCUUGUUGAAUAACAGGGAUCAGUAGUUUAUUCUGCCUGAGGUAGGAGAUGUUGGAACAAUAAUCUAUGGAAUAGAAACACCGAUUAUAAGCAGAUCUGGGGGAAUUAUGAGACAGUGGAUGAGAAUUGGGAUGGCCAUCAUCACCACCAUCAUCGUGACCCUCCAUCAUUCAUUGGUUGCUACUAUGCAACUUAGAUGGCAUCUUGAGCUGAAUCUCUAACCCUAUUACCAUGUGCAAUCCUAGCACCCAGGAUGUUAGAAUAUACCAGUAUUUUUCAGGCGAUUGGAGGAGAGGAAGAUUGUCGAAGCAGGACCAGCUGGGAUUCUCUGGCUGACUCCCAGGCGCAACUGUGAAGCAGCGGAUAUUGGUUGCUCUCCCACCUCGUCAGGAGCAGCGUUCUCCUGUCUGUUCUUGGCAUCUCCCAGCAUCCUGUGCCCUGCUAAGGUGUUAACUGACAACUGACAGAUUUUUACGAAGAGCCUAUUCUCCUUGGUUGUAUUUUCAUUUUAAAAACCGACUUAAAAACUUUACAAAUCAAACCUCUGCAAGGCAAGGCAUAACUUUCCUUCAGUACAGCCCAUAAAUAGAUCAAAACUCACUCAUCUUUUGCAGGAAGAAAUAAAAGUUCUCUUGACACCUGACAUCCUUGUAACUACCAUCCAAUGUUUACCAAUUUCCAUAAAUUUUUUUUUAACAAAAUGGUUCAUUGUCUCCUAUAAUAAUCUCUGAAUUAUUACAAAUGUAAGGUGGCUUCAUCUUCUUUUUUCAACUGCUCUCUUUAAGAAUGUCUUUAUCAGGAUCUAAAUGCCAAAUCCAGGGACUUGGGUUCUAUUUAAUUCACUACUCUCUGGAAGAGUUGCCUUGUGUUAAUUUGUCUGUCUGUCUGUCUGGCCAACUUGAUGGUAAGUGUCUUUUUGUCUGAAUCUCGGCCUCAUCCAUUUUCAGAUCCCUCUGAUCUUAUGUGAUACUUAGCUCCUAAUAAUACUCUCAGGUCUACUGAAAAUUAGAUGGUUGGGAAGCCUGGGGUUGUUUGCAUGCUGGGACUAAGUGCAGCAUUAAUAGAAUAAGAGAGAAGGUCCAUUCACCCAGGACCCCUUUAAUAGAGACUUGCUCUUAAGACCGUAAGAAGUGAAGAGACAAAAAAAGGAUCAGCUGGGCAGAUCCUCUUGGAGGGUUUGUUGAGAGCAAGCCGUAGCAUUUCCGUUGGCACAUGGACUAGAGUAGAGACAAAUGAGAGAACAAGGGGCUAUUCUAGUCUGACAAUGAGAACAUGACUCCAGCCUUAACAUGAUAGUAUAUUUACGCCCCAUCCCCCGGUAACACACCUGGGACUAUAUAGAAGACCACAAAAUCAUCCAUAGCAAUGGAAAGGAAGGUGGCCUUUAGUCAUCUUUGAUGGCAUUUCUGAGCAAGCAAGUUAGUCCUGAG
ensembl:lincRNA Gm13481 predicted gene 13481